AGGGGUUUAAGUUAAUUUAAACUGAAAGCCUUCAAAGCUUUAAAUAAAAAUGGGAGUUUUUAACCUCUG
rnacentral:tRNA from 1 species